CCUCCCUUUUCAGUCGAAGAAAAAAAAUGUGCAUUGCCAGCUGUAGAUGGGUGAUUGGCCAUCUGAGAAGGCAAACGAUGGCUGAGUUAAGUAAGUUUCUUUGUGGUGCAUAUGUGUGAGACCUAGGAUUUAAAUGCAAGAAGGUAUGUGAAUCUAGAUGAAAUCCCUGGAGGGGUAUGAUCUCACAUGGACAUUGUUCAUCAUUAAAGUUAUGCCCUCCCUGGAGGAACUAUAUUUGACAGUGUGGAGUCACCUGUGUAAAAUGGAAAUGGAUGAGAGCACUCUUGUAGGAUUGGACUAGGCAUAGGUGCCCGAUAACUAGACAUGGAGGCCCGGAUCCGACCUUCCCUGCUUGAUCUUCCUUUUUUCCUGACCUUCCCGCUCGAUAACAUACUUUACCUAACCUGACCUAACACAUUGAGGUAGUCUUAUGCUUAACUGGUUCUUCAAUGAGAUCUCUUAGAAUCUGGAACAUAGGAGCAGACAUAUACUUGAGGUCUCAAGUUGCUUCACAGAGGCCAUCGUCAUCUUAUACACUGCUUAUAUCAACGCCGACAACUCAA